AUACGGAGGGUGCGAGCGUUGUUCGGAAUUAUUGGGCGUAAAGGGCACGUAGGCGGUGAAUUAAGUUGAAGGUGAAAUCCCAAAGCUUAACUUUGGAACUGUUUUCAAAACUGAUUCACUGGAGUUCGAUAGGGGAUAGUGGAAUUUCUAGUGUAGAAAUAAAAUUCAUAAAUAUUAGAAGGAACACCAGUGGCGAAGGCGACUAUCUGGAUCGAUACUGACGCUGAGGUGCGAAAGCAUGGGGAGCAAACAGGAUUAGAUACCCCAGUAGUCC
rnacentral:rRNA from 1 species